ensembl:lncRNA
UUUGAUAUAUUUACAGCAGGAAAUUUACAAAAUAUCUUCACAGAACAUGAUCUUUACUUAAUAUCCUAAUGAUUUUUGGAAUAAAAGAAAAAUCGAUAAUUUUGACCCAUACAAUGUAUUAUUGGUUAUUGCUACAAAUAUACCCGUGCUACUUAUGACUGGUUUUGUGGUCCAGGGCCACAUACUGUAUAUGAAUUUGUUUUUUAAGGUGAAACCCAUUAAUUAUUAAUUCACAAAUAUCAUUACAUAUUUGCAAAGUCACAGCACAUUACCUUUUACAACCUAAAUUUGUCCUGCCAUAAAAAUGUAAAAUUUUCGCUUCACUGACCCAGGUUUGCAGUCAAAAACUGCAAUAAUGCUGUUAAGCUGUGCAAAUCCCAGAGCCAAACCAUACACAUGCUGUAAAUGAAGACGAAGAAUUUUACAGGGAGGAAAAGCCAGAAAAAGCAUCAUGGGAGCAGCCAAGCGUUCCAGCGCAGAACACAGACUGCCCGCUGCCAGCUGCUUCCCAUGUGCAGAACAUUCUAAUGUCAUUAGUGAGGAAAGACAUUAGAGGCGGGAGACGAGGAGAGCUGGCAGAGGGAAGGCAGAAGCAGCAGGUGACAAGCCCUAGGAUGCCUGGAAAAUCUAGUUUAUGGACUCCUGAUUGAUGAGGUGAUCCUAAACCAGGUGAUGAGUAAUUCGCAGUUUAAUUGAAAGAGAUCAGUGGUGGUCGGCAUCGUUUUCUACACGCUCGAAAAUUGACUUUUUUUAAUGCCCCCUUAGUUUAAUUGCAGCAAAUAUUCUGGGUUGUUUAUUAAUGUCUAGUUGUCAGGCUAUUGGGCCACAGCAUUAAAACUUUCCCAUAACUGUGUUUCUACAGUAAGCGUCCAGAGUAAAGAAAUCUGCUUUG